UACGAAGGGGGCUAGCGUUGCUCGGAUUGACUGGGCGUAAAGGGCGCGUAGGCGGUUCGUACAGUCAGACGUGAAAUUCCUGGGCUCAACCUGGGGGCUGCGUUUGAUACGUGCGGACUUGCGUGCGGAAGAGGGUCGUGGAAUUCCCAGUGUAGAGGUGAAAUUCGUAGAUAUUGGGAAGAACACCGGUGGCGAAGGCGGCGACCUGGUCCGAUACUGACGCUGAGGCGCGAAAGCGUGGGGAGCAAACAGG
rnacentral:rRNA from 1 species